rnacentral:rRNA from 1 species
UAGUGUGGGGUUUCCCCAUGCGAGAGUAGGGAACUGCCAGGCAU